rnacentral:rRNA from 1 species
AGUCGAGCGGACAGAUGGGAGCUUGCUCCCUGAUGUUAGCGGCGGACGGGUGAGUAACACGUGGGUAACCUGCCUGUAAGACUGGGAUAACUCCGGGAAACCGGGGCUAAUACCGGAUGGUUGUUUGAACCGCAUGGUUCAAACAUAAAAGGUGGCUUCGGCUACCACUUACAGAUGGACCCGCGGCGCAUUAGCUAGUUGGUGAGGUAAUGGCUCACCAAGGCAACGAUGCGUAGCCGACCUGAGAGGGUGAUCGGCCACACUGGGACUGAGACACGGCCCAGACUCCUACGGGAGGCAGCAGUAGGGAAUCUUCCGCAAUGGACGAAAGUCUGACGGAGCAACGCCGCGUGAGUGAUGAAGGUUUUCGGAUCGUAAAGCUCUGUUGUUAGGGAAGAACAAGUACCGUUCGAAUAGGGCGGUACCUUGACGGUACCUAACCAGAAAGCCACGGCUAACUACGUGCCAGCAGCCGCGGUAAUACGUAGGUGGCAAGCGUUGUCCGGAAUUAUUGGGCGUAAAGGGCUCGCAGGCGGUUUCUUAAGUCUGAUGUGAAAGCCCCCGGCUCAACCGGGGAGGGUCAUUGGAAACUGGGGAACUUGAGUGCAGAAGAGGAGAGUGGAAUUCCACGUGUAGCGGUGAAAUGCGUAGAGAUGUGGAGGAACACCAGUGGCGAAGGCGACUCUCUGGUCUGUAACUGACGCUGAGGAGCGAAAGCGUGGGGAGCGAACAGGAUUAGAUACCCUGGUAGUCCACGCCGUAAACGAUGAGUGCUAAGUGUUAGGGGGUUUCCGCCCCUUAGUGCUGCAGCUAACGCAUUAAGCACUCCGCCUGGGGAGUACGGUCGCAAGACUGAAACU